GACGAACGCUGGCGGCGUGCUUAACACAUGCAAGUCGAACGAUGAAACCUAGCUUGCUAGGUCGAUUAGUGGCGAACGGGUGAGUAACACGUGACUAACCUGCCCCUUUCUCUGGGAUAACGCUCCGAAAGGAGUGCUAAUACCGGAUACUCACACCGAGGCACAUGCCUUGGUGUGGAAAGUUUUUCGGAAAGGGAUGGAGUCGCGGCCUAUCAGCUUGUUGGUGAGGUAACGGCUCACCAAGGCGACGACGGGUAGCCGGCCUGAGAGGGCGACGGGCCACACUGGGACUGAGACUCGGCCCAGACGCCUACGGGAGGCAGCAGUGGGGAAUAUUGCACAAUGGGCGCAAGCCUGAUGCAGCGACGCCGCGUGAGGGAUGAAGGUCUUCGGAUUGUAAACCUCUUUCAGUAGGGACGAAGCGAAAGUGACGGUACCUAAAGAAGAAGCACCGGCUAACUACGUGCCAGCAGCCGCCGUAA
rnacentral:rRNA from 1 species